GACCUCGGAUCAGGUAGGAAUACCCGCUGAACUUAAGCAUAUCAAUAAGCGGAGGAAAAGAAACCAACAGGGAUUGCCCUAGUAACGGCGAGUGAAGCGGCAACAGCUCAAAUUUGAAAUCUGGCUCUCGGGCCCGAGUUGUAAUUUGUAGAGGAUGCUUUUGAUGCGGUGCCUUCCGAGUUCCCUGGAAACGGGACGCCAUAGAGGGUGAAAGCCCCGUCUGGUUGGAUGCCAAAUCUCUGUAAAGCUCCUUCGACAAGUCGAGUAGUUUGGGGAAUGCUGCUCUA
rnacentral:rRNA from 1 species